CCUACGGGAGGCAGCAGUGGGGAAUAUUGGACAAUGGGGGGAACCCUGAUUCAGCCAUGCCGCGUGUGUGAAGAAGGCCCUCGGGUUGUAAAGCACUUUCAGUGAGGAAGAACGCCUGGUGGUUAAUACCCAUCAGGAAAGACAUCACUCACAGAAGAAGCACCGGCUAACUCCGUGCCAGCAGCCGCGGUAAUACUGAGGGUGCGAGCGUUAAUCGGAAUUACUGGGCGUAAAGCGCGCGUAGGUGGCUUGAUAAGCCGGUUGUGAAAGCCCCGGGCUCAACCUGGGAACGGCAUCCGGAACUGUCAAGCUAGAGUGCAGGAGAGGAAGGUAGAAUUCCCGGUGUAGCGGUGAAAUGCGUAGAGAUCGGGAGGAAUACCAGUGGCGAAGGCGGCCUUCUGGACUGACACUGACACUGAGGUGCGAAAGCGUGGGUAGCAAACAGGAUUAGAUACCCGGGUAGUC
rnacentral:rRNA from 1 species